CAUAGUGCCCGUACCGCAAACCGACACAGGUAGAUGAGGAGAGAAUCCUAAGACCAUCGGAAGAAUUGUUGUUAAGGAACUCGGCAAAUUAACCCCGUAAGUUCGCGAGAAGGGGUGCCGGAGAGGAAUCUCCGGCCGCAGUGAAAUGGCCCAAGCAACUGUUUAGCAAAAACACAGGUCUCUGCUAAAGCGUAAGCUGAAGUAUAGGGGCUGACGCCUGCCCGGUGCUGGAAGGUUAAGGGGAUCACUUAGCGCAAGCGAAGGUGUGAACUUAAGCCCCAGUAAACGGCGGCCGUAACUAUAACGGUCCUAAGGUAGCGAAAUUCCUUGUCAGGUAAGUUCUGACCCGCACGAAUGGCGUAAUGACUUGGGCACUGUCUCAACAACAAAUCCGGCGAAAUUGUAGUGCAAGUGAAGAUGCUUGCUACCCGCGAUUGGACGGAAAGACCCCGUAGAGCUUUACUGUAGCUUAGCAUUGAGUUUCGAUAUUGUCUGUACAGGAUAGGUGGGAGACUAGGAAAGAGGAUCGUCAGGUCUUCUGGAGUCAUCCUUGGGAUACCACCCUGGCAGUAUUGAGAUUCUAACCGGAGGCCAUGAUCUGGUCACGGGACAUUGUUAGGUGGGCAGUUUGACUGGGGCGGUCGCCUCCUAAAAAGUAACGGAGGCGCCCAAAGGUUCCCUCAGAACGGUCGGAAAUCGUUCGUAGAGUGCAAAGGCAGAAGGGAGCCUGACUGCGACACAUACAGGUGGAGCAGGGACGAAAGUCGGGCUUAGUGAUCCGGUGGUACCUCGUGGGAGGGCCAUCGCUCAACGGAUAAAAGCUACCUCGGGGAUAACAGGCUUAUCUCCCCCAAGAGUCCACAUCGACGGGGAGGUUUGGCACCUCGAUGUCGGCUCGUCGCAUCCUGGGGCUGAAGUAGGUCCCAAGGGUUGGGCUGUUCGCCCAUUAAAGCGGCACGCGAGCUGGGUUCAGAACGUCGUGAGACAGUUCGGUCCCUAUCCGUCGCGGGCGUAGGAAAUUUGAAGGGAGCUGUCCUUAGUACGAGAGGACCGGGAUGGACCAACCUCUGGUGCACCAGUUGUUCCGCCAGGAGCAUAGCUGGGUAGCUAAGUUGGGACAGGAUAAACGCUGAAAGCAUCUAAGCGUGAAGCCUACCCUAAGAUAAGAUUUCCCAUGACGUAAGUCAGUAAGAUCCCUUGAAGAACACGAGGUUGAUAGGUGAGAGGUGUAAGUGCAGUAAUGUAUUCAGCUUACUCAUACUAAUAGAUCGAGGGCUUAAUCAA
rnacentral:rRNA from 2 species